rnacentral:rRNA from 1 species
CGUAGGGUGCGAGCGUUAAUCGGAAUUACUGGGCGUAAGGCGUGCGCAGGCGGUUUAGUAAGACAGGCGUGAAAUCCCCGGGCUCAACCUGGGAACUGCGCUUGUGACUGCUAAGCUAGAGUACGGCAGAGGGGGGUGGAAUUCCACGUGUAGCAGUGAAAUGCGUAGAGAUGUGGAGGAACACCAAUGGCGAAGGCAGCCCCCCUGGGUCGAUACUGACGCUCAUGCACGAAAGCGUGGGUAGCAAACAGGAUUAGAUACCCUGGUAGUCCACGCCCUAAACGAUGUCAACUAGGUGUUGGGAGGGUAAAACCUUUUAGUACCGGAGCUAACGCGUGAAGUUGACCGCCUGGGGAGUACGGCCGCAAGGUUA